GGGCGAGUGGUGGAAUGGCAUACACGGUGGACUUAAAAUCCACUGGGCGCAAGCUCAUAAGGGUUCGACUCCCUUCUCGCCCACCA
rnacentral:tRNA from 1 species